rnacentral:pre_miRNA from 1 species
UAUUAGGUUGGUGCAAAAGUAAUUGCAGUUUUUGCCAUUGAAAGUAAUGGUAAAAACUGCAAUUACUUUUGUACCAAACUAAUA